GGGGAAAGCCAGGUGUCCUUUACUACUGGUGAGCUAUGUAGAGUUGUUCUCAUGUGCUUCAGUUCUCCUUAGCUGUUAAAACAUGACACGCUUCAAGGACAUCCCAUUUAGCGGUGUUUUAACUGUGUGUAUAAGUCUAACUACAAUGAAUUUGUUGCAGAUCAGUUGAAUAAUAGUGGUCGAGGGUAGAGUUUUUCCACUGUGUGUUUCAUCUCUUGUCUAUGUAGCAAUUUGAAGGAUUUUUGGUCACUUUACAUCUACAUAAAUCUAUUUCUAUAGGCAUCACGAAAAACAGUGUAAAACAAUCAAGUCCCAAAUGGAUUUUUAGUAAAGUUUUAAAAUCAUAAAAUAUCAGUGAAGAUAGAAUAUCCAGACUAUUGUUUGUUUAUUAUUAUCAGUUCAUCCUGUUGCAGUUUCUCUGCCGCAGCGUGGGCAUGAGAUUAGAUGAUGCCUGCUGCACUGGUGAAAGGUUGCAUUUGUGUGUGUGUGGGCGUGCGAGCAGAUGUGGCCCCAGCAUUUGGGGCACCUGCAGGAGGAGGUUGCCACAGGACCUCCUGAGAUGUGCCGGGUUGGAGCUCUCCUGAUGUACAGCUGAGGAGACUUCAGUGACAUGAAGCCCUGGAGGCCACCUUCUACUUUCUGCUCCUCCUCCAUGAGCUGGCCCCUCCCGGUGCCUUCCAUGGUCCAGUUCUUUGGAUAUUUCCUCUUCCCUGGCCAUUCCUAGUCAUGCUGUGCUUAACCUGAUCUCAGGGUGCUCUAAGGGCGAUGGACAUUGAGCACCAGGUACAUCAGUUCUAGGUACACAGUUUGAGACUAUUUUAGUAGUAGUGGAUUUGGAUCCAUAAUAAGCAGUGUGUGGGCAAUAAUGAAUGGGGUAAUUAUCCGUGUGGCCCUUUCUGAACCCCGUGGAUCAGGAACUACCUAAACCCUGCCAAAAGCUGUACCUGUACCUGGUGGGCUUUGUGUAUUGGGAACAAUGGACAAGAUUUUCUGCUCGAGGACAUAGCUUGGGAAUACCUCCGUGUUCCUUCUUGUCCCCACUGUGGCUUUGUCCGUGUGAGGAGAAGUGGUCACGGGUGAGGGAGGGGAAGGAGCCCACGUGCAGGCCUGGCCCCACAGCUCCACGUUGCUAGGGCACUGAAGGGGCAGGGUUCACUAAAACCCCUGAAAAGGGAAAGCCCUGAAAAGGGUUUUCUGGGUGUUCUGAAGCAGCGCCGUGUUGUCCACACACAGCGAUGUGCGGUCUGGUUUGGGCACGUUGUGCUCUGAGGGCUCUGAACUGAGCAGUUUGGGUGGGUUCGGUAAGGGUGCCUCAGGCACACGUACCCCGUGUCACCCCGUAACGUGGUGCCAAGCGGCUAGCUGCAGGUCUUCACCUCGCCUUCCCUUCCUGAAAGAGGAGGGGGUAGACACAAAGGCCCUGCGUGGGUGGAAAGGGCAAUGAAUCGCUUGCCAAGGCAGACUGCAGUCCUUCAGCUGGCACGGGAGGCGAUGGCAGGUACAGGGCAGCCUUACCAGGCUGUGCUGGAGCCUGUUUGCUGGGACGGAGCUGAUGUUACUUGUCUUGCACAUAACUCUUCUGUGAUUUGAUCUGCUUCGAAGAGCAGCUCUGGAGCGUCUUGUUCUUCCACUGCUUCCCGGCUGACGUCUCAAAGCCAGGGCCUUUUCUGGUGUCAACAGAGCUGGAAACAGGAGUCAGAGACUCUGCCAUAACCCACAUCCCACUGAUUUGUGAGAUCAAUACGCACUAGGGUGUGCAUCUGACCUAUUUAAAGCAAGAAAAUAACCAGUACUGGGUUAUUCUUAAAAAAAAAAAAAAAAAAAAAAACCACUCAAAACUGUUACAAUGCUGCUUUAUUUUCUUUGAAGCCUCUGGAAGCCCAGAAUGGCAGUGCUGAUCAUCAGGGGGAGACAGACUUUCCUCAUGUCCAAACAGCAGAUUCAGACAGGCGAGGAUCUGGAUCAAGACCAGCACUCCUGUCUCCUGGGUAACGUGGCUUUACAGAAGACUUUGUCCGUCUACCUUUCUUCAGUUCUUUCCUGGGAAAAAAAGCAAGAGGUGGUUAUGCAUUCAAAAUCAAAGCUAGCUCCGUGACUUAGUCUUUAAUUCAUUGUAAAAUCCCACCAAUAUGCAUUAAGACUUCAUGCUUCAGAAAAACUGGGCUCGGUUGCUUUGGGAGAACAAAACACAAGGAGGAUAGAGGGCUCUGUACGAACCAGUUUCCUGCAUCCCUAUUUUUAACUUUUCACUUGAGGAUAAUGAUCGCUUGUCCCUCAUCAGCUAGAGAUGGCACCUCGUGUUCUCUCUGCGCAGGAGCUGCACUGAGAAGUGACACAGUCCUUCCUCAUUUGGGAAUGCUUUCACGAAGGCUCAAGGAUGGAGCCAAGCUCUUGAUUCCCUUUUGCAAUAGUGAGAUACAGACUCAAGUAACUUGCAUGGACUUUACCACCUAUUAACCCCGUCGCUGAGUGAUGCAGGUCAUGUGUCUUUGGUGGCGAGCACUUACACUGAACAUGCUGUAUUGGAGAGCCUGCUGGGGACUGCAGCGUUGCUUUGAAGAUGUCAGUGUGGUGGGGGUGAUGCAAGUCUGCGCUCUCCCCGUGCAUGAAACUCAACUAUAUGCGAAAGCAGAAGGGCUGGUCAUUUUUGGUUUUGUUUUUCCAGAAUCCUGUAUUUACAAAUCCUCUUUUCCCAAUAGUCUUUUUGAUAAUGCUAAGUCUUCCCUCUGAUCUUCUGUGUCUCAGUUUGUGCUCCUUCUUCCAUUUCUGCUUCUACUGAAUGAAGCUCCUGGUGUUGUUCACAUAAAAAACCAACAGUAACUUGAGACUUCUUUUUAUUUUAUGUAAGCUGCGGAUAUUGAAUGAGAUUCCUAGCACAUGUCACCAGACGUGUGAACAGCACUUUCCAAUUAAAACUCUAGGAAAUUCUACUGGUUGCUUAAAAACCCCACAAAAUAGAGAAUCAUAAACUUGAAUUCAUAAACACCCAUGAUGGGAAAAAGAUCCAGCUAUUUACAUGGCAGUCAUUUUAUUUAUUUAAAUUUGGUUUUGUAAGUUAAAAUGAGCACAGCCCGGGAGAAAAACAUCUUGAGCAUUUUAUGUGUAUCUGCAAGGCUUGGAACAAUCACAGAGCAAAUUAAACUGGUUUUCAGUGAUUUUGGACAACUUACAGAUGUGAUAACUUUCCUUAAUGUCUGUGCCACAGCUGCAUCAACCCCUGCAAAUUAAAUAAAGAAACAAUUCGAGGCAUCUCUGACGUAGCCUGGUGGUUAAAUUGUAAUCAGCACCUGGUAAUUAAAACGCACAUGGCUGAAAUGACAA